UACGUAGGGGGCAAGCGUUGUUCGGAAUUACUGGGCGUAAAGGGCGCGUAGGCGGCCUGCUAAGUCAUACGUGAAAUCCCUCGGCUCAACCGGGGAACUGCGUGUGAUACUGGCGGGCUUGAAUUCGGGAGAGGGAUGCGGAAUUCCAGGUGUAGCGGUGAAAUGCGUAGAUAUCUGGAGGAACACCGGUGGCGAAGGCGGCAUCCUGGACCGAGAUUGACGCUGAGGCGCGAAAGCCAGGGGAGCAAACGGG
rnacentral:rRNA from 1 species